rnacentral:lncRNA from 1 species
UUGGCGAGUAAAAGAAGAUACAAGUCAGAUAAAGAUUUUAUGGUACUGUUUUAAGAAAAUGACUAUAAACACAUAUCAUCUGCACACACUGCAAGUAUAACUUUAAAACAGGAAAAACAAAUACAAUGGGAUCUACCCCCAGCAUAUGGAAAGGGCACUUACACAGGUACCAUCUGUUGCUUGGAGAAAGUUAGCUGAAGGUAUGCUCAUAUCUGGAUGCCACAACCAAUUGGGGGAGUUACAGGUAACACCUGUGCAUGUUCAGUUGUCCCACCUCCAUGCCAACCUCAGACACGGAAGUUAUUAAAAUCUGGUUUCUACCCACUGAUCCUGAAAACUAACACUGAUGACUGUAGAGAAGUGAUACAGGGGGCGCUUAGAGACCAAGAGAAAAGCUAAGAUUCUGCCUCAAAAAUCUUGCUUUCUCCUCCUUUUCUAAAGGACGUGGAACAAAAUGACAGUACAAAAUGAGAAUUUUUUUUUCUAAUGCUUUUUCCUAGCAUUGAAAGGAAUACAUUCUUAUAAAGAAAAUGAAUGUCCACCUUCUCUCGAGAGAUCACAGAGGCUCUAACGGGAAGAA